rnacentral:rRNA from 1 species
UACGUAGGGUGCGAGCGUUGUCCGGAAUUAUUGGGCGUAAAGAGCUCGUAGGCGGUUUGUCGCGUCGGCCGUGAAAACUUGGGGCUUAACCCCAAGCCUGCGGUCGAUACGGGCAGACUUGAGUUCGGCAGGGGAGACUGGAAUUCCUGGUGUAGCGGUGAAAUGCGCAGAUAUCAGGAGGAACACCGGUGGCGAAGGCGGGUCUCUGGGCCGAUACUGACGCUGAGGAGCGAAAAGCGUGGGGGAGCGAAACAGG